rnacentral:rRNA from 1 species
CCGGGCCGGCAGGCUCAUACAUGCAGUCGAACGAGAAAGUAUCUUCGGAUACGAGUACAGUGGCGGACGGGUGAGUAAUACAUAGGAAUCUACCCAAUGGAGGGGGAUAGCUCGAGGAAACUCGAAUUAAUACCGCAUAAUCUCCACGGAGUAAAGAGGGCUUCGGCUCUUGCCAUCGGAUGAGCCUAUGCAGGAUUAGCUUGUUGGUGAGGUAAAGGCUCACCAAGGCAACGAUCCUUAGCUGGUUUGAGAGGAUGACCAGCCACAUCGGGACUGAGACACGGCCCGGACCUCUACGGAAGGCAGCAGUAGGGAAUAUUGGACAAUGAGCGAAAGCUUGAUCCAGCCAUGCCGCGUGUGCGAUGACGGCCUUCGGGUUGUAAAGCACUUUAGGUAACGAGGAAAAGUUAGGUGUUAAUACCAUCUAACCUUGACGUUAAUUACAGAAUAAGCACCGGCUAAAUCCGUGCCAGCAGCCGCGGUAAUACGGAUGGUGCAAGCGUUAAUCGGAAUUACUGGGCGUAAAGCGCGCGUAGGUGGCAUAUUAAGUUAGAUGUGAAAUCCCGAGGCUUAACCUCGGAACUGCAUCUAAAACUAAUAAGCUAGAGUACUAGAGAGGAAAGUAGAAUUCUUAGUGUAGCGGUGGAAUGCGUAGAUAUUAAGAGGAAUACCAAUGGCGAAGGCAACUUUCUGGAUAGAUACUGACACUGAGGUGCGAAAGCGUGGGGGAGCAAACAGGAUUAGAUACCCUGGUAGUCCACGCCGUAAACGAUGAUAACUAGCCGUUGGAUUUAUCC